GUGUCAUAAUCAUACAUAGAAUGUCUUCUUUGACUGAUACUAUUUAUCUCUGGUAAAAUUAGUGAAGGCAUGUUUAGUUGCACAGAAAGACGCCUCUUAGAAAACAUUGAGUAUAAGACUUAAAGCUUGAUCCGAGAAUGCUUGAGGGAGAAAUAACGAGUACACACUAUUUACCAGACAGACAAGACCUUCCCAUUUGGUGUUGUCCAAUGGCCCCAGACAUUUGCUUGAAUCUAGUGGAUUUAUGCUACUUAGCCAAGGCAUUCAUCUAAACACCUUCAAAUAUUAGCACUGGGGAUCAUUAAUGCCUUUAUGCCAAGUGCUAUUUUUGUAUAUAUUGAUGGGUCAGCAUUGAUGAAGCCUACAAUGAGUUUCUUGGCUCUUUGGACCAUGAGGUACUGUUUUUAGCUUGCAGUUUUGAUGAAGAGGCCAUGGUCAUCUGUGAAACCUUAAAAAUCAUGGCUCUUGACUGGGUGAGGUCAUAUGUCAGCAUGUCUCAUAUUCUUUUUGAAUGCCCCUGACAUGCUGAUCUCCAUCUUGACAGGUCUAGGAAAUCACAAAUUAUCGACCUGUAUGGUGACAUGCAUGCACUAUCCAAAACAGCAAGGUUUCUCUCCAGGGCUUUGCAAAAGAGGAUUUGAACUUCUCAAGCCUUCAAUGAUAUACACAUUACUAAAAAGCAUCUGAUUUUUUUUAACUUUUUUUAUUCCUUGAGAGAAAAUGAAAUGAUUAUUACCAUUGUUAUAAAUUUCUUUUCAGCCUGGAUGUGAAUCCAGAACAGUAACAUUAAAUGUAAAGAGAUA